rnacentral:rRNA from 1 species
GUGGGGAAUAUUGGACAAUGGGCGAAAGCCUGAUCCAGCCAUGCCGCGUGUGUGAAGAAGGUCUUCGGAUUGUAAAGCACUUUAAGUUGGGAGGAAGGGCAGUAAGUUAAUACCUUGCUGUUUUGACGUUACCAACAGAAUAAGCACCGGCUAACUUCGUGCCAGCAGCCGCGGUAAUACGAAGGGUGCAAGCGUUAAUCGGAAUUACUGGGCGUAAAGCGCGCGUAGGUGGUUCAGCAAGUUGGAGGUGAAAUCCCCGGGCUCAACCUGGGAACUGCCUCCAAAACUGCAUGACUAGAGUACGGUAGAGGGUAGUGGAAUUUCCUGUGUAGCGGUGAAAUGCGUAGAUAUAGGAAGGAACACCAGUGGCGAAGGCGACUACCUGGACUGAUACUGACACUGAGGUGCGAAAGCGUGGGGAGCAAACAGGAUUAGAAACCCUAGUAGUCC